rnacentral:lncRNA from 1 species
GCAUAACCCAUUAUACUAAAGAAACAACAUUGCUUGACUAUGCUGGGUGAACAUAACAGUUCGUUUUCCUGGGAGGAACUUUUCCUGGACAUGAAAUAAAUCAACUUGUCAUUGUAUUUCUCAAUGUCAAUGACCAAAGCAAGCCCUGACGGAAGUGGAAAAUGGGAGCUACACAUGUUUUGUUGGAGCACUGGGAUCCCCUAUAGCAAGAGCCUGAUCCAACAGCAAACCCCCACGUCUUGCCUCCGCUGUCUCCUGCUCUGUGGGGCUGGCAAUUGCCCAGUUCCACCCAGGACCCUUUUGCUGUCUGGGAAGUUGGAGUUUCCGAGACCAUGGUGUCUAGCCACAGGCUGGCACCGUUCGAAGGAUAAAAGCUGCCCUUUUCCAAGGAUCCCCUUGCAGGUUGCAUUGGCGGUCUGCUUUCUCUAGUAAAGACGGGCGUGCUCAACGAUACUGAUGCUUUUGAGAACAAAUUCUGCCGGAUCAGGACUCUCAGCCAGUACAUAGAGGGCAGUGCCACCCAAUGCCUGGACCCCCAAAAGGUCUUGGUCAUCAACUACUGAAGGAGAAAAAAAGCAAGCUAAAAAACAGGCUGCCGACUGUGAGCUCAUCUCUGGCUUUGUUGUUUUGUCUUUUUUUUUUUUACAUAUAUUAUGAAAAAAGCAGAUGUAGAAAAUAUCUGAAAGACCACAUCCACACCCCUGAGGUGCAGAUUGAGACUAUGAGGUGAGGAGGAGAGAGGGAUCUUUUGCUUUGGCCUCAUGCCUCUGGGUACUUUCUCUUGAAUAAGCACCUGUUACUGUUUCAGAGUAAGGAGCACUUACUGGAUGCAGGCUGCCAUCCUUCUGGCUGGCGUUGCCGUGGCUCGAAGCAGUCAAUUUUUAAAACAUUCUGUUAUGGGAGUUCCCGUCGUGGCGCGGUGCUUAAUGAAUCCAGCUAGGAUCCCUGGCCUCGCUCAGUGGGUUGAGGAUCCUGUGUUGCCGUGAACUGUGGUGUAGGUCACAGACUCGGCUCAGAUCCUGAGUUGCUAUGGCUCUGGUGUAGGCCGGUGGCUACAGCUCCAAUUAGACCCCUAGCCUGGGAACCUCCAUAUGCUGCGGGUGCGGCCCUAGAAAAGGCAAACAAACAAACAAACAAAAAAAACAAAAAAAACCCAAAACCAAACCAAAAAAAAAUCUGUUAUUAACAAGGAUUACUAUAUUUCCAAAAAUAUAUCACAUCUUUAACAUUUAUCAGCCAAUAAGCACUGGCUGAGUAAGAGUUAGAAUGAAAAGAUCUUUUUUUGGAAUAAAGUGUGAUAUGUCUAAACCAGACGCCUAAUUAAGGAAGGACUCCAGGGGUCCCUCACAAUAGAACACAACAGUUGAAGACUGGUGCCCCAUCUGUCAGAGUGGCCCUUAGGACAUUCUGCCUCACUGCAGAAAUAGACAUCCUAGAUUCUUCCACAUCGGCUUACUGAGACAGAUGGGAGGGACAGUACAAGCUUUUAAAAUAUUCUGCAUAAUGAAAUAGGAGGCAAGCAUAAUUUCUUCUGCAAACUGAAAGACAAUGGUUAUCUCAAGGAAAAGCAUUUUGGAGUUCUCGUUGUGGCUCAGUGGUAAUGAACACGACUAGUAACCAUGAAGAUGUGUGUUCGAUCCCUGGCUUUGCUCAGUCUGUUAAGGAUCCGGCAUUGCCAUAAGCUGUGGUAUAGGUCACUGACUCGGCUCAGAUCUGGUGUUGCUGUGGCUGUGAUGUAGGCCGGCAGCUACAGCUCCUAUUUCACCCCUAGCCUGGAAACCUCCAUGCGUCGAAUACAGCCCUAAAAAGACCAAAAAAAAAAAAAAAAAAAAAAAAAAAAAAAAAAAAAAAAAGAAAGAAAGAAAAAGAAAAGCGAAAAGCACUUUGUGAAUGAGUUGCCAGCCAAACUAGUCCCGUUUAUUAUGGAACAUCAUUUUUACUUGAAAGUGUGACUUACAAAUGAUGGCCAUUCAGACUUGAGUAUUUGGCAGACAUUUUCUUGAAAAUAAAUGAAGUGAGGCUGUCAUUUCAAUGAAAACAACUAAAGUAUGUGUUGGCAAUGAUGAAAUUUGAGCUUUCAUGUGAAAAUUAACAUUUGGAAAAAUUGUAUUGACCACUGUGAGCCUGACAGCUUUCCAGCAUUUAAAUACGAAUCUGAUGAGUCAGGUGGUAAUAUUAACAAACAUGAUUUAUAACGUUUACAUAAUGAAAACAUUUGGAAAAUCUGCACAACUCAACAAACCAGUAUUUUACAAAUGACCAAAAUAUGAUGUUAACAUGUCACACAUGGGUGAAAGAUAUAUUCAGAGAGCAAGGCAGGCAUUCCCACUGUGGCUCAGCGGAAACGAAUCUGACUAGUAUCCAUGAGGACACAGGUUCGAUUCUUAGCCUCAAUCAACGGGUUAAGGAUCUGGGUGUUGUUGUGAACUGUGGUGUAGGUCGCCGACUUGGCUCAGAUCCUGGGUUGCUAUGGCUGUGGUGUAAGCCAGCAGCUACAGCUCUGAUUGGACCCCUAGUCUGGGAACUUCCCUAUGCUGUUGGUGUGGGCCCUAAAAAAGACCAAAAAAAAAAAAAAAAAAAGCAAGGCAGACCAAUGAAUUUCAAUAUAACAGAAUAAAAAAAAUAUUGAUAUGGUUUCUCAUUCAACACUGCAACUAACCCUUUAGGAAACACUAUCAAUUGUUAAGUUUGGACAUAGUAUCAAAGAAGGAUCCCUACGGUUAUCUAAAAAGGCCAUUAAGGAGUUCCCGUCGUGGCUCAGUGCUUAACGAAUCCAGCUAGGAACCAUAAGGUUUCGGGUUCGAUCCCUGGCCUUGCUCAGUGGGUUAAAUCCAGCGUUGCCGUGAGCUGUGGUGUAGGUUGCAGAUGUGGCUCGGAUCUGGUGUUGCUGUGGCUCUGGCGUAGGCCGGUGGCUACAGCUCCGAUUGGACCGCUAGCCUGCAGGUGCAGCCCUAGAAAAGGCAAAAAGACAAUAAAUAAAUAAAUAAAUAAAUAAAAAGGCGUUAAAGUAGCCUACCUUUUCCAACUACCUAUCUGUAGGAAGCUCAAUUUUCUUCAUAUGCUUCAUAUACUAAAAUAACAUUGCAAUAGAUUGAAUGCUGAAGCUGAUGUGAGAAUUCAGCUGCCUUCUAUUAAGACAGACAUUAAAGAGAUUUACAAGUAUGUACAUUAAUGCAACUCUUCUCCCAAAUGUCUUUUGUCCUGAAAAAUAUGUCAACAUAUAGUUGGUUUAUUAUUUUUAGAGAAUUAAAAUUUGAAUGAUCAUUUUAAAUUUUAUUUUAAUUUCUAAUACUUUAUUUUUUGUAGAUAUACUCUAUAUAAACAAAAGGUCUUUGCACCUGCUCCUCUGACUACCUCAUUCAUUAUGUCCAGUAUUGGUGAUAAAGGGGUGUUUGGAGGGAAAUUAUCCAUCACCUUCCCUUCUCUGACUUGAGCAAUGGUCAUUUUCUUUAACCUGAAUACUGUCCUAAAUUGUCCCCUAUACAGAAAAUCUGGAGUCCCACUGUUCAGGUCUUAGUUUAAACAUCCCUUCAUCAUUACCUAACACCAGAGGGACAGUAGAGUUACUUCUGCGAGUAUUUGCUUCGUUUCAUUCUUCCCCACUCCAUGAGGCUAGUUUCCUUGUCUCUUUUGUUCACUGGUGAUUCCUCAGUUGCUAGGACAUUUGUUCAAAGAAUGAAUGCAUGAAGAUGUGUGUUCGUGUGUGUCGUCAGACCAGCUGAGCCUACGGGCUGUGGACUUUGCAGUUGACACAUGGACAUGCAGCGUGAGAGCAUGGCUGAUAUUUCACAUCAUUUGUGGGGAUACUUUUUGAAAAAAUCAAACUAUGUUGAGUUUCAUUAUGGACUUAUAGAAUUACAUUUAUUUCAUUAUAGACUUUCUAGAGCAUUUACAAAACAAGACCUUGCUGUGUUGGUUGAAGGAGAGAGUGUAGGGACCAAGAGAAGGAAUUAGGCCACCUUCUUCCUGGGAUCUCCUUUCACUGCUUCCUCUCCAGGGAGAAGGCAGGGUGCAAAUAAGGAUUUUUAUCUUAAUGCGGAUUUGGAAAAUGUGCAAUUCAGAGAGGCUCUGGGGGAAUUCACUGGCAGACCCAGAAAAUCAGUUUUAAUAAUGAGGAGAGAAGGAAAUGAUUGUCAAAAUACGAAUUCAUUAAGGCUUAUUCCCUAGGGGCCUCUUUUGGCAGUAAAGAUAAUUAAGCUUAAGUUUUAAAGGUCAGUUUUAACCAGCUCAUGAGACAAAUGGUAGCAGUGACAUCAUCCUAGUCCUCUGUAUCUAUGGCAACAGAAUUUCUGAGCCAGUGAUUAAACAUCAAACUACAACUACUGCAUUAGUCCCAGCACCCAGCCGCAAAUAAAUAUUCAAGAAAGUGGGUGAACUUUACCUUUCCUCUUGGGCUAUGCCAGCCAUUUACUGAGAAAACAAGCAGCAGAACCUGCUGUUAAAAUUGCCUGCUGAUGAAGCCAGGUCACCGGCCCUCAGCCUCCUCUGGAGCCUUGGGCAAGAGGAGGGUCACCCCGCAAGGCAAUUGCUUUUCAUUCAUGUAUUGGUCUCAAGUUGGAGAGCAAAGGUAGCUAGAAGGUGAUUGCUUGCGCAUUUGAAUGAUCCUUUUUUAAAAGAACAACUGUUUUCUUCCCUAAUCAUAAAAAUAGUGAUUAAAUAAGAAAACAAUACCGUAAUUCUCACCUUACCCACAUUCACCCCCCCCUCCACGCCCUACACCUGCCCUUAUCCACAGAUUUGCUUUUCAUGGUUUUAGUUACUCUCAUUCAACUAAAGUGGGAAGUGGAAGGUUCCAGAAAGAAACAAUUCCUAAGUUUGUCAUUGGGUG